GACGGAGGAGGCAAGCGUUAUCCGGAAUUAUUGGGCGUAAAGCGUCCGCAGGUGGCUAUGUAAGUCUGCUGUUAAAGAGUGAGGCUCAACCUCGUAAGAGCAGUGGAAACUACAUGGCUAGAGUGCGUUCGGGGCAGAGGGAAUUCCUGGUGUAGCGGUGAAAUGCGUAGAGAUCAGGAAGAACACCGGUGGCGAAAGCGCUCUGCUGGACCUUAACUGACACUGAGGGACGAAAGCUAGGGGAGCGAAUGGG
rnacentral:rRNA from 1 species